AAGUCGUAACAAGGUUUCCGUAGGUGAACCUGCGGAAGGAUCAUUAACGAGUUGGAAUGCAGAGGUUGAUGCUGGUGUGUACAUGUGCUCGCCUCUGCUCUCUUCAUCCACUCAACCCCUGUGCACUUUAUCAGAGUUAGUAGUAGUAGUAGUCAUUGUAGUGGCCAUUUGUUAUAUUCAUUGUUCAUGAUAAUAACACUACGGUUCUACUGCUACUAUGAACACUUUGACUUUAUUCAUACAAACCCUUUGCUUUGUCUUUGUGAAUGUGUAAUGCUCCUUGUGAGCGAAAUACAAAUAUACAACUUUCAACAACGGAUCUCUUGGCUCUC
rnacentral:misc_RNA from 1 species